AAACAUUGCUUUCCGUCAAAAGUGUUCAAGGUGGAAAUCGUUGACGCCAUUUCGUAUCUCGUUUCGCUGUUAGCGUCACGAAAGUUUUCUCCCUUUUUACUUUAAUUUAAUUUUGCCAAAACGUCGCAGCCACAUACACCUGUUCUUUUUUGUGAUUGUAAAACGUAAAAUACAGAAUUUUUACGUAUAAUGUAUAAUCAUAAAAUGGUUUCAUCUAAUCAACCGAGAAAAACAAAAAUAUUUGUGGGUCGGUUACCAGAAAAUUGUCGCAACGAUGAGUUGCGACAAUUAUUUUUACGUUUUGGUGAGGUAACUGAGUGCGAUGUCAUGAAUCGGUAUGGGUUUGUCCACAUGGCGCGUGAGGAAGAUGCAGCUGCAGCGAUCAAAGCACUUCACAAUUCCAACUUCAAAGGGGCGACGAUCAAUGUGGAACAGUCUACUGGCAAAUCACGUGGAGCUGGAGGACCACGCAGGGAUGGAGACAGAAGAGGUGGACCAAUGAGAGGUGGUAGAGGAGGACGAGACGGUGGUAGAGACGCUCGUCCUGGACCUUACAAUGAUAGAAGAGUUCUUCCGAUCCAACUCGUUGGUUACGAUGGAUCUGCUGCAGGUGGCGUCGCAACGGGGUACACCGAUUACAAUCGUGGCGCUGGAGACUUUAGUGGACGUGGAGCAGACUUUGGGACUGGGUACACCGACCGUGGAGCGUAUGGACAAAACGUGGGAAGCGCGGCAAUGGGCUACACUUCUACAGCGCCUGGAAUGGGAGGAGGAUAUGGACCAGCAACCGGAGCAGUUGGAGGAUACGGACCUACAGGAACAGCUGACUACGGACGAACAGAUUAUACUCGUGCUGCAGAUUUUGGAGCUAGAACAGAUUAUGUAGUUGGAGGUGGAAUGACUGGAGAUUUUAGUCGUGGCGCACCAGGUCCAAUGGAUUAUGGACGUACUGAUAACUUUGGUGCAAAUCGCACAGUUGAUUAUACAGCUAGAAAUGAUUAUGAUCGCACUGCAACAGGACCUAUGAGAAAUGGUGGUGGUGCAGUUGCCACUACUGGAUAUGGAACAGGGUACACAGAUGUAGGAUAUGAUGAAAGCCACUGGGGUUAUCCGGGCGGGCCUGGGGAUAUGAUGGGUGGGCCCGGGGGGGUAAAUCAGGCAGCUUCGAUGGCCUAUGACAGGAGGGAUGGUCCCCCUGUUAAUGAUAUGACUCCGUUUAACAGGCCAAUAAGUACAGGACCCAGCUACAGCACUGGGGCACCUAGCUACAGUACUGGUCCAGGACCACAAGCAGAUAUGUUUAGUAGAAGACCAGGCAGUGCUGUCCCCAGUAGUGGAUAUCCUCCUGUUGGUGGAGGUUAUACCGAAGGAUACGACAGACCAGAUGCAUAUGGUCCUCCGCGCAGUGGUGGACGAGUCGAACAGUUAGAUCAGACAGGGAUACAGAACUGAAGUUUUCAAAACGCUCGCUGUGGACCAAGAACUCAUACAAGCGUCUACUAUAAUUUUCACCAUAAACAUGUGUACAAAGUGUUCCACUAUCCCGCAUCAAAACUAUUGAUAUUUUCUUUUUCCUUUUUAUACGUAAAAUCAUGUUUUCUGUUUUUAAAAAAGAAUCUGAUUAAACUUUUCUUUAAAAGUUACUAAAGAGAGGAAAGAAAUGUAUUAACAAUGUAUUGUAAAUUGUAUGUACAAUCAUUACUAUAUCAGUAAUGUAAAAGAUCAAAUUGAAAAACAGAAUGUUUUGAACAAUUGUUAUAACAAUACCUUACAUCCAUUCUUAUUGGGAGGCAUUGUAAAAAAAAAUUCCUAGAUUUAUUAGAAACAGAAACAAUUCAUUCCAUUUUUCUUUUCAUAAAAAUCAGUAGUUCAGAUAUUUCAAAGGAUGCUUACCGUGGGACACUCUGUACGUGUAUUUAUAGUAAUUAAUUGGUUAUUUUUAAUUCAUUGCACUCUAAGCAUAUCUCGCUGGCACAAGUUUGUAUCAAUUGUAUCUACAUUGGUGCUUGAACGCUGUUUAGAACAGUUAGAGUGUGCAAAGGGUUAAUAAUAAGGAACGAUGUUACCGAAUAACUUCUUAAGUUUUCAAAUACAACAUUGAAAUAAUUCAAAUAUCUAGUAUUUACUCUGCUGAAUGUAUUCGGUCCACAGCGUCCAUACAUUACGAAUUUCAAUGUUCCUAUUAUAGAAAUCUCCAUGUGAAAAAUGUUUUUUGUCAAAUAGAUAUCCCAUCCUCCGUUUAGAAUUCUUUUAUGGUUUAUAACGGUGAUGGUCGGGGCCUGAUAGUGUUCACAAGGCACUGGUGCAAUGAUGGGUUUUAAAGAUUUCAAAUUUUCAAAUGUAUAUAUUUUUUAGCUCUACAAUUUAAGGAUUUGGAAAUUUAAUUUGGACAAUUUGAAAAUUUGUAAACUGAUUACUCAUCAGUUGACCAUCAUUGGUAUAUAAUACUUGGUAGAACCAUUCGUGUAAACGUUAUGAUCUCGAUCAUUGUAUUAGUUUGAUAUUUUUGAAGCUCUCGAAACUUUUGUAUGUUAGAAUACAAGUGUAAAUGCAGAACUUCAUUUGAAAGUUGAUGGAAUCUACAAUGACUUGUACUUAGAACAGCGUAAUCUUGAAUUGUGCGACGAACCCGCGUAAGCGCAGCUCACUUCGAAUCCUGGUGGCAUAUCAACGUCAGAUUAUACGAAGAGACCGAUAUCAAGUCGCUUACCUAUGCGUGUGGCCCGUAGAUGCGACUACUGGUGAAUAAUGCAAGCUUCGAUAUGCGGAUAACGUGCUACAAAUUGCGUUUGCGCUCAAAGCUGGCGGUGCUUUGAAUUUAUACAGAAGAUUACAAGCGGGAUGACGACACAGUGAGGACAAUGAGAUGAACUCAGAUUGGAAGUGUGGGUCCUAAUAAUACCAUGGAGUCUCUCACUCUAUACUCAGGUCCGUGGAUUUAUUCCAUCAGCAGGAAUGUUUGCGACGACGUUAGAAAGAAGAGAAAUGCGGAUAAGGAAGAGAAAAGAGGGUUUCUUUUUUGUUCACGUGUAUUGGAAAUGUAAGACACACCGAUAAUUAUUUCCUUAAAUAUUUCAUACGCAAGUGUAAGCGAUCAGUAUUAUUUCAUUGUUAACACUCAGGUAAUGGUGACUCAAAUUCUACUGGUUUUUAUUAAAAAUUGUUUCUAUUG